rnacentral:rRNA from 1 species
GACGAACUCUGGCGGCGUGCUUAACACAUGCAAGUCGAACGGAAAGGCCCUGCUUUUGUGGGGUGCUCGAGUGGCGAACGGGUGAGUAACACGUGAGUAACCUGCCCUUGACUUUGGGAUAACUUCAGGAAACUGGGGCUAAUACCGGAUAGGAGCUCCUGCUGCAUGGUGGGGGUUGGAAAGUUUCGGCGGUUGGGGAUGGACUCGCGGCUUAUCAGCUUGUUGGUGGGGUAGUGGCUUACCAAGGCUUUGACGGGUAGCCGGCCUGAGAGGGUGACCGGCCACAUUGGGACUGAGAUACGGCCCAGACUCCUACGGGAGGCAGCAGUGGGGAAUAUUGCACAAUGGGCGGAAGCCUGAUGCAGCAACGCCGCGUGCGGGAUGACGGCCUUCGGGUUGUAAACCGCUUUCGCCUGUGACGAAGCGUGAGUGACGGUAAUGGGUAAAGAAGCACCGGCUAACUACGUGCCAGCAGCCGCGGUGAUACGUAGGGUGCGAGCGUUGUCCGGAUUUAUUGGGCGUAAAGGGCUCGUAGGUGGUUGAUCGCGUCGGAAGUGUAAUCUUGGGGCUUAACCCUGAGCGUGCUUUCGAUACGGGUUGACUUGAGGAAGGUAGGGGAGAAUGGAAUCCCUAGUGGAGCGGUGGAAUGCGCAGAUAUCAGGAGGAACACCAGUGGCGAAGGCGGUUCUCUGGGCCUUUCCUGACGCUGAGGAGCGAAAGCGUGGGGAGCGAACAGGCUUAGAUACCCUGGUAGUCCACGCUGUAAACGGUGGGUACUAGGUGUGGGGUCCAUUCCACGGGUUCCGUGCCGUAGCUAACGCUUUAAGUACCCCGCCUGGGGAGUACGGCCGCAAGGCUAAAACUCAAAGGAAUUGACGGGGCCCCGCACAAGCGGCGGAGCAUGCGGAUUAAUUCGAUGCAACGCGUAGAACCUUACCUGGGUUUGACAUGGAUCGGGAGUGCUCAGAGAUGGGUGUGCCUCUUUUGGGGUCGGUUCACAGGUGGUGCAUGCCUGUCGUCAGCUCGUGUCGUGAGAUGUUGGGUUAAGUCCCGCAACGAGCGCAACCCUUGUUCACUGUUGCCAGCACGUUAUGGUGGGGACUCAGUGGAGACCGCCGGGGUCAACUCGGAGGAAGGUGGGGAUGACGUCAAGUCCUCAUGCCCCUUAUGUCCAGGGCUUCACGCAUGCUACAAUGGCUGGUACAGAGAGUGGCGAGCCUGUGAGGGUGAGCGAAUCUCGGAAAGCCGGUCUCAGUUCGGAUUGGGGUCUGCAACUCGACCUCAUGAAGUCGGAGUCGCUAGUAAUCGCAGAUCAGCAACGCUGCGGUGAAUACGUUCCCGGGGCU